GGCGAACGGGUGAGUAACACGUGGGUGAUCUGCCCUGCACUUCGGGAUAAGCCUGGGAAACUGGGUCUAAUACCGGAUAGGACGAUGGUUUGGAUGCCAUUGUGGAAAGUUUUUCGGUGCAAGAUGAGCUCGCGGCCUAUCAGCUUGUUGGUGGGGUAAUGGCCUACCAAGGCGUCGACGGGUAGCCGGCCUGAGAGGGUGUACGGCCACAUUGGGACUGAGAUACGGCCCAG
rnacentral:rRNA from 1 species